rnacentral:rRNA from 1 species
UACGGAGGGAGCUAGCGUUGUUCGGAACUACUGGGCGUAAAGCGCACGUAGGCGGCGCAGCAAGUCAGGGGUGAAAUCCCGGGGCUCAACCCCGGAACUGCCCUUGAAACUGCAGUGCUAGAAUCUUGGAGAGGCGAGUGGAAUUCCGAGUGUAGAGGUGAAAUUCGUAGAUAUUCGGAAGAACACCAGUGGCGAAGGCGACUCGCUGGACAAGUAUUGACGCUGAGGUGCGAAAGCGUGGGGAGCAAACAGG